CCUACGGGAGGCUGCAGUGAGGAAUAUUGGUCAAUGGGCGGGAGCCUGAACCAGCCAAGCCGCGUGAGGGAAGAAGGUCCAGCGUAUCGUAAACCUCUUUUGUCAGGGAACAAAGGCGGGGACUAGUCCCCGGAUGAGGGUACCUGAAGAAAAAGCAUCGGCUAACUCCGUGCCAGCAGCCGCGGUAAUACGGGGGAUGCGAGCGUUAUACGGAUUUAUUGGGUUUAAAGGGUGCGCAGGCGGCCUGUUAAGUCAGCGGUAAAAGCCCGGGGCUCAACCCCGGCCAGCCGUUGAAACUGGCGGGCUGGAGUUGGAGAGAAGUACGCGGAAUGCGCGGUGUAGCGGUGAAAUGCUUAGAUAUCGCGAAGAACCCCGAUUGCGAAGGCAGCGUACCGGCUCCACACUGACGCUGAGGCACGAAAGCGUGGGUAGCGAACAGGAUUAGAUACCCCUGUAGUC
rnacentral:rRNA from 1 species